GGCGGGAUUGGCUGAGCCUGAACAGAGGCAGACGGGAGUAAAUAAGGGGCUGUUGCCAGAGCCUGAGCCCACCAGAGAAAGUCUGUGCAGAGGGCGGGCCUCGGUUCCUGCUGCUCCUUCAUCCUGACCCCUUCACACCCUCCUCUAACAAGGACCUUGACCUCCCUUCUCCACUCUCCUGGAUCCUGCUCAGUGUGGCGCCGGCCUUCUCUGGGGCCCUGGAGUUCCCACUGACCUUCAGCCCCGCCAGUUGCAUCUGCUGUUCCCACUGCAGGUCCUGUUCUCUAUGAGUGAAUAUCCUAAUGACCAUAAUAUAAUCAGUUCCCUUUUUGGGGACUGAUGUUUGCUGAGAACUGUCUCUGUGAAUGCCGUCUUGCCGCAAAACUUCACCUCUGGAUAAAGCGGCUGUGCUCCUUCUGGGUGUCUGCAUCGGAGCUGCUGAGGCACCGCUGAGAAUGCACCACACAGCUGACUACGCUGCUGAGCAUAUCUCAUUACCAAACGCACGUCCCUUUCAAGGAUGCCAGGCCAUUAGGGCUGCAUUGCCACCUUGAUGGACACUGGGGAUUAAUGCCUGUGUGUCCUAGUUUCAUUAAAAAGUUUGAAGUUUUCUGGG